UACAGAGGGUGCAAGCGUUGUCCGGAAUUAUUGGGCGUAAAGCGCGUGUAGGCGGCUUUGCAAGUCGGGUGUGAAAUCCCUCAGCUUAACUGAGGAAGUGCGCCCGAAACUGCAGAGCUUGAGUACCGGAGAGGAUGGUGGAAUUCCCCAAGUAGAGGUGAAAUUCGUAGAUAUCAAGCGGAACACCGGUGGCGAAGGCGGCCUUCUGGACAGUGACUGACGCUGAGACGCGAAAGCCAGGGGAGCAAACGGG
rnacentral:rRNA from 1 species